UGUGGUGUGGCCUUCUUGCCCAUUGGCC
rnacentral:piRNA from 1 species